UUCCUAAAUACUAAAUACAAAUAUACACUUCCUAACAACACCACAACAUUGCAAUUGACCAGAAAAUCAAAGCAAACACAAAACGAAAUGUGAAACAGAAAUGUACUUAAGGAGGAGGGAGGGCUCGAGGCUGGUGCAAUAGGAGGAGGAGGGAGGACUGGAGCAGCAGGAGGAGGAGGGAGGACCAGAGUAGCAGCAAGAGGAGGGAGGGCCGGAGCAGCUGGAGUAGGCGAGCAGGAGGAGGAGGAGGGAGGACUGGGGCAGCAGGAGGAGGAGGAGGGAGGAUCGGAGCAACAGGAGGAGGAGGGAGGGCUGGAGCCGCUGGAGCAGGCGAGCAGCAGAGGGCGACCGGGAGAGGGAGAGGGAGAUUGGGCUUUGCUAGGAGGCGGUAGAGGCUGUGGAGCGACGGCGUCACGGCGAGGCGGGCGAAGAGGUGGAGGUGGUGUUUAGGGUUUAGUCUCGCAGACUGGGGAGGCUGUCGAGUGCAGCGCGAUAUACCCGACAACUUUACCUUACGAAAUAAAUAUUUCGUCAGCUAAAGCAAUAAAAUCUCGUCGGCUAAGACUAAUUUUGUCGGUUAAACGUUGAAAUUUGUCGGCUAAACCUUUCAAAUUUGUCGGCUAGACCUUUCAAAUUCGUCGGCUAAACCCUUGAAAUUCGUUGGCUAAACGUUGAAAUUCGUCGGCUAAAGUACCUUUUAUACAUUCGGCAAAUUGUGAUGAUCAAACUUGAGAAACGGAAAUCCAACCAUCAUGAUAAAAUACAUGUAUGGGAAAAAAUUCAACUUGAUCCGACAAGGUUAAGGGCUCGAUCCGGACGGUCAAUCCGUUAAGUCAAACCCCUAAACGCACGGAAAAGAUCAUUGGACCGUCUAAAUUACGUAUUUUGGCCAGACCUUCAACUGAAAAUAGUUUCAAACCGAUGAGCCCCAACAAGUCAUAUAAAAAUUUUACGGAAAAUAACCACCGAAGAUAGGGCUACCCAUAGAGAUAAAGAAUGAAAAAUUGCAUUGACCGCAACUAUUGGCACCGAGACUUUACUGGUAUACCUUGAUUUUUCAACCGUAGAUGUAUUUCACCAUUUUGGUCGUAUCUUAUUUCAUGACUUUUUUGCGUUUGUAGGUUCUAGGUUUAGUUUGUUUUUGAAAUGAAACAUUUACUCUUGGUAAACAAUUUAUACAACAUUACUAGGCAUGUUGUGAUUGUGAUUAUCAAACUUGAGAAACCAAAAUCCCACCGUCAUAUCUGACCAUCAUGAGAAAAUACAUGUGUGGGAAAAAAUUUAACAUCAUCCGACAAGGUUAAGGGCUCGAUCCAGACGGUCAAUCCGUUAAGUCAAACCCCUAAACGCACGGAAAAGGUCAUUGGACCGUCUAAAUUACGUAUUUUGGCCGGACCUUCAACUGAAAAUAGUUUCAAACCGAUGAUACCCAACAAGUCAUAUAAAAAUUUUACGGAAAAUAACCACCGAAGAUAGGGUUACCCAUAGGGAUAAAGAAUGGAAAAUUGCAUUGACCGCAACUAUCGGCACCGAGACUUUACCGGAAUACCUUGAUUUUUCAACCUUAGACGUAUUUCACCAUUUUGGUCAUAUCUUAUUUCAUGACUUUUUUGCGUUUGUAGGUUCUACGUUUAGUUUGUUUUUGAAACGGAACAUUUACUCUUGGUAAACAAUUUAUACAACAUUACUAGGCAUGUUGUGAUUGUGAUGCUCAAACUUGAGAAACCAAAAUCCCACCGUCAGAUCUGACCAUCAUGAUAAAAUACAUGUAUGGGAAAAAAUUCAACUUGAUCCGUCAAGGUUAAGGGCUCGAUCCGGACGGUCAAUCUCGUAAGUCAAACCCCUAAACGCAUGGAAAAGGUCAUUGGACCGUCUAAAUUACGUAUUUUGCCCGGACCUUCAACUGAAAAUAGUUUCAAACCGAUGAGACCCAUCAAGUCAUAUAAAAAUUUUAGGGUUUAGGGUUUAGCCGACGAAAUAUUAGGGUAUUCGUCGGCUAACCGCAUCUUAGCCGACGAAUUAUGAUAUAUUUCGUCGGCUAAGAUGGUUUAAGCCGACGAAUUAUGGUAUAUUUCGUCUGCUAAAGUGUAAAAAUACAUUAAAAAAACAGAAGGUUUAAACCAUACUAACUUCCUAUUCAAAUAUCACCAAAAUUCAUAUAAAAUAACAGAAAUAUGAAUUCAACAUAUAUAAACUAUAAAGGUUAUACAUUCUUUUUUAUUGCAAAUUAAUGUAAUCAGAAUUAAAACUAAGGCUCGUAAUCGGAAUCAUCCGAUGAGUCUUCUUCGGUGUCAGAAUUAAUUUCUGGUAAUCUAUGCCUUUCCUCAUCGCCAGAGUCUUCGUCUGUUUCUUGAUUUGGAUCAACACUCAAUAAGCCUUGGCUCUUCAUCACGAAUUCGCACCGAACGACCCGCUUUAAANNNNNNNNNNNNNNNNNNNNNNNNNNNNNNNNNNNNNNNNNNNNNNNNNNNNNNNNNNNNNNNNNNNNNNNNNNNNNNNNNNNNNNNNNNNNNNNNNNNNCUUUUACAUUGUCACAAAUUGAUUUAAUUUCUCUAAUACUUAGGUGACAUGUAGAAAAGUCAUGAACAGAGUAACCUACUACCUGCCGAGAGAAGUGUUCCUGAUGAACCUAGGGAAGCAAAGCAGUUGAUCCACGAAGCCUAGUCCAUGAAAAGAGAGGUCUAAACCAAGUCCAAUAUGGAGAAGAAGAUCUAAAUUCGGCAGAAUAUCAAGGAAUAUCCAAGUCUUGAAAACCCUGAUGAAUUUCGGGAAAAUUCCUGUGCACGUCUCUUAACUUCAACGGACACUCCAGGACAGCUCACAAUGAAUCAGAAAACGUGCUAGAUAUGGAUAGAGAGCUACGGGAGUCUAGUUUCCAAAUCAAUUGGAAUCACCUCAAUAUCUAUUUUCUAGAGGGAGUUAUGACGUGAUCAUCAGACGAAGGUCAAUCUGCCGAAAUUGAGAAGAACUAGGAAUCCUAAACCAACUUGGUUUAGGCUUUGUGGCCGACUUCUCUAGGGUUUUUCCUCUAUAUAAAGCACGACUUCAAGGACAGAAAAACAUCAUCGCUACCCUUGCAAUUACAUAGCCGAAACUCUACCAAACCCUAUACAGAAAAUUACUUAGCCGAUUCAUCCACCACAAACCAUAAGAAUCAUUCCAUCCUUCCACCGAUUUUCCCCACACUUGCCAAAUCUUUCAAGGUUGUAAAAGUGUGAUUUUCUCAUGGCUUCUUGUAUUAUUUUCUGUAUAGUUUCGAACUCUAUUGUAAAAUACUUUUCGAUUUUGGUUUUAUUUAUCAAACAUGGUUUUCGGAUUUCUUUGUGAUCUUUGAUUGUUCUAUGUUUUGAUUUAUAACUUCUUGAAUAUAUGAUGAUUUCGUGAUUUAGGUUUUGGGGCAGUAGCAUGUUCUUAUGUGUUUCUGAUUUCUAAUUGAUUAAUUGUCAUGAAUUCGUGCAUCUAAAUCAAUCCUUGAGGCUGCCUCGGCCAUGGUUGUCCUUAAGGUGCGGUUUCAUCUACCAUAAUAAUUUUGGAUCGAUUCAUACGCAAAGUUGUCUUGGUCUCUGUUAUUAACUUAGGGCGAUAUAAUUCGGAUAAUUUGCAUGCUAAUAGGAUGAGUGACGCCAUGCCUUAGAUCAUGUUUCCGAUUGACUCGUGUGCUAAAGUGUUUUCUUGUUUAAUCUCUACGCAACGUGUCUUUAAAUGAGUUAGCAUUCAUGUUUAGGAUCAAGCGCAAAGAUGGUUCUAAAUACUUGAGGAGUCUUAACAAUUAGAUAACCGCAAAGGCUCUAAUUAGAAUCGAAAUUGGUUAGAGUCUAGGAUAAUUUGAACGAUGCUGCCCGGCCUUGCAUGAAGUUGUUAUGUGUUCUUGAUGGUUUUUCGUGUUAUGUGUUGCAUGAGUAUGUUGAUCACUUGUAUAUAAUAAUCUUAGGUUUAAUUUUCAGUAGAUUAUUUGUUAGAAUUAAUCAAUCUAAAACCCCCAAUAUUUCGAUGUAUAUAUGUGAAUACUUGUUUAUAAGUUGUUUGGUUUAUCUUCUUUCGAUCGCCCUUUGGUUUCCCCGGCUAGAACGAUCCCUACUUGUCCAUAUUACUACGAUUGCAGGGUAAUUAAAUUGAAGUUGUUUGACCCCGGUUACGCGACACGUCACUCAGGUGUAGCCGAGGCUAUGGAGCGAGAGCCUCACCAAGGCGUCAGCCUCUUGAAAAAAAAAAAUUUACAUUUGUAACUUUUAAAAAUUAAUUUUUUAAGCUCCUAACUUUUAGAUUUAUAUUUCAUGACAAGAAGAGGAGGUUAGUUUCAUGCUUAUUUUCAUAUUCGUAACAACACCACAAAAUCAAACAAUGUAAACCCAUUCAAUUAGUCAACAAAAAAAAAAAUAUACACUUCCUAAAUACAAAUAUACACUUUCUAAAUACUAAAUACAAAUAUACACUUCCUAAAUACUAAAUACAAAUAUACACUUCCUAACAACACCACAACAUUGCAAUUGACCGGAAAAUCAAAGCAAACACAAAAUAUUAAAUACAUUUACACUUCCUAAAUAAAAAUAUACACUUCCUAACAACACUACAACAUUGCAAUUGACCGGAAAAUCAAAGCAAACACAAAAUGAAAUGUGAAACAGAAAUGUACUCAAGGAGGAGGGAGGGCUCGAGGCUGGAGCAGCAGGAGGAGGAGGGAGGAUCGGAGCAGCAGGAGGAGGAGGGAGGGUUGGAGCAGCAGGAGGAGGAGGGAGGGCCGGAGCAGCCGGAGGAGGAGGGAGGGCCGGAGCAGCUAGAGCAGGUGAGCAGGUGAGCAGCAGAGGGCGACCGGGAGAGGGAGAGGGCGGCGACCGGGAUAGGGAGAGGGAGACCGGGAGAGGGAGAGGAGGCAGACCGGGAGAGGGAGAGGGCGACCGGGAGACCGGGAGAGGAGGCGGAGGCGGACGAGAUUAUCUCGUCCGCUAAAGAUAAUAAUCUCGUCGGCUAAUAUAAUAAUCUCGUCGGCUAAGAUCAAAUUCGUCGGCUAAAAAUAAUUUCGUCGGCUAAAGAUAAUAAUCUCGUCGGCUAAGAUAAUAAUCUCGUCGGCUAAGAUCAAAUUCGUCGGCUAAACCUUAGAAAUUCGUCGGCUAAAUCUUUGAAAUUCGUCGCCUAAACCUUUGAACUUCGUCGGCUAUAGUAAUUUUUAUACAUUCGGUAAAUUGUGAUUGUGAUGAUUAAACUUGAGAAACGAAAAUCCGACCGUCAGAUCUGACCAUCAUGAUAAAAUACAUGUAUGGGAAAAAAUUCAACUUGAUCCGACAAGGAUAAGGGCUCGAUCCGGACGGUCAAUCCGUUAAGUUAAACACCUAAACGUACGGAAAAGGUCAUUGGACCGUCUAAAUUACGUAUUUUGGCCGGACCUUCAACUGAAAAUAGUUUCAAACCGUUGAGACGCAACAAGUCAUAUAAAAAUUUUACACAAGAUAACCACCGAAAAUAAAGCUACUCAUAGGGAGAAAGAAUGAAAAACUGCGGCACUGAAACUUUACCGAAAUACUGUGAUUUUUCAACCGUGGACGUAUUUUACCAUUCUGGUCAUAUCUUAUUCACGACUUUUUGCGUUUGAAGGUUUACGUAUAGUUUGUUUUUGAAACGAAACAUUUACUUAACACUUGGUAAACAAGUUAUACAACAUUAGUAGGCAUGUUAUGAUUGUGAUUAUCAAACUUGAGAAACGGAAAUCUGACCGUCAGAUCUGACCAUCAUGACAAAAUACAUGUAUGAGCAAAAAUUCAACUUGAUCCGGCAAGGUUAAGGGCUCGAUCCGGAAGGUCAAUCCCGUAAGUCAAACCCCUAAAUGCACGGAAAAGGUCGUUGGACAGUCUAAAUUUCGUAUUUUGGCCGGACCUUCAACUGAAAAUAGUUUCAAAUCAAUGAGACGCAACAAGUCGUAUAAAAUUUUACGGAAAUAAUCACCGAAGAUAGGGCUAUAGUAUGUAAUAGAAAAAUUUUAGGGUUUAGCCGAUGAAUACCCUAAUAUAUUCGUCGGCUAUAAUAUGUAAUAAAU
rnacentral:lncRNA from 1 species